rnacentral:rRNA from 1 species
UACGUAGGGUGCAAGCGUUAUCCGGAAUUAUUGGGCGUAAAGAGCUCGUAGGCGGUUUGUCGCGUCUGCUGUGAAAACUGGAGGCUCAACCUCCAGCCUGCAGUGGGUACGGGCAGACUAGAGUGCGGUAGGGGAGAUUGGAAUUCCUGGUGUAGCGGUGGAAUGCGCAGAUAUCAGGAGGAACACCGAUGGCGAAGGCAGAUCUCUGGGCCGUAACUGACGCUGAGGAGUGAAAGCAUGGGGAGCGAACAGG